AAGGAGGUGUAAAGAACAAGGAAGUUAAACUUGUUCUUUAAAAUGGAGAACAAAGAACAGGGAAGCUGAACAUACUAACAUAUUGGUUCUUUGAAGAGGAACUCAGAGCUCAUUGUACUUAACAAAUUUUCUCCCUCUUGAAUUUUAAAGGAAGUUGUUAACAGGCUAAACUUUGAAGAGGAAUUUACUGUCUCCUACAAAACUCAGGUUCAGCUGCUCACCUUUUGAAAGCAAAACUCAAGAGACAAGGGUUGGUGGAAGGAAAAGCAGGUUUAUUCAAGAGAUGGCAACCUGAGGAGAUGGUGGACUAGUGCCUCAAAGACUAUGUCAAAUUUUUAGGGUAACCAAAGGGAUUUUAAAGGAAAAGGAGGCAUGGAAACUAUGAGCAGGAGUGGUGCAGGACACAGGACUGCGUGUCUCAUUCUGAUGACUAUCUUCAGUAAUGAACCACCUGGAGGUCUGGCUGGCAUCACCAUGACUGCAACCAGGUUAUGGAUUAACUACUCAGUGGUUUUUCUGAGAAGGGAGGAUUCUACAAUCUCAGUUUAAUACUUGGUUUAUUUCAAGAUUGCCCCCUGGAUCUCUUAAGCAAGUAUAUGGCUACACAUUGAAGAAAGCAAAGGGUGAGGCUACUCAUCUUUGAAGCAGCCUAUUUCAGCUUAAGUAGGAGUGUCUUGUUUUUCAUAAUGAGCCCCUUUGGAUCACACCUGAGAUUACGCUAAUGAGGUAACUUAAGGUGGGGCCCCUACAUGACCUCAAAAUGGGGCUGGCACCAGAAAGACCGGGGAUUAGAAGGUUGAAACUUUCAGCCAACCCACUGACAUUCAGAAAGGGGGCAGGGACUGGAGAUCAAGCUCCAUAAAAACUCUCAGACAUACAAUCUGAGGAGUUUCCAGAUUGCUGAAUACAUGGAGGUGUUGGGAUGGUGGCAUGCCCAGAGGCCAUAGAAGCUCCACACCUUUCCCCUCCCAUACCUAGCCCUAUGCACCUCUUCCAUCUGGCUGUUCGACUGCUUGAGAGCUGCACUUUGAAGAUAAGUUCUGGUUGUGAACAUUCUGACAUUCCAACAACGAGGUGGUCCAGUGAGAAAAUCAGCCAAGAUGACUUGACUAGGAGCAGCCCUUGGAGGUGCUGAUAGAAAACAUACGCAAGUAUCUUACUUUAUUCAUAAAUUGUGCCUUUGACUAGUUUUAAUGAACCACUAUUGGUCCCAUUUGCCAAUUCUGGGGUAGUUGUUAUGAAACAUAUGGUGAAAAAUCUGGGCUGUGAUGUGGAAGGGUCACCCCUUGGACGCUCUCAUGGGCUGGUGGUCUUGUCUGGUUUGAGCUGAGUUCAGGACUGAAUCUUGAGUUCCUGAAAAACGACUUAGCCAGCACCUUGUGACCCACACUUCACAGUCAGAUGUUGUAUAUAGGAACAUUGUGGAAACUAUGGCUAGGCUAUGUGGCAUUUUAAUGGUAAGCACUACAGCGUCAGCAAACAGCUAAGGGUCACAGUUAUAAGCUGACCAGAAAAACUUCAGAUACUGGCUACCUAAUCAUUCGUAGCUAUCAGGCUAUUGGUUUCAUUAGAUAUUCUUUCACCUCUCAAUGAGGGCCCUAAGUUCACAGUGUUAAAUGUGGUUUUCCUCAGUGAAGUUCCCAUAUAAUGUAUCCUAGUCAUCCAGAGACUUCCAGAAGUUUGUCAGAAAUUAAAUGCAGGAGCCAGGUCUCUUGUCUAAUGAUAGUACCUGAUAACCCAUUUCCGGGGUCACCUAGGGUCUUUCAGUUCUUUUGUGCCUGAAGUCAGUCUUUGAUGUUUGUAGCCUUUGCUCAAAGCCACUGCCUGAGUGAACCCAAGUGUUCCAGAUGAGACCAUACAGGAACAGGCUCACAUAAUAAGGCUGUUCCCCAUCACCACCUCUGCUACCAAUCAGUUCAGGAGCUGAAUCUCCCCCUGCUAUUCCUUUCUCCACUGCUGCAGAUUUCCUGGGCUCUGAGAAAAGGAGGAGGACGCAGACUCUGUUAUUCAGAUCCACACAUUGAACCCCGCUAUAACCAGUGACCUGAACUCUGAGUGACCUGAGUCUGAGUAGGAGAAUCAAAGCCUUCCUGCCUAAGAACCACCUGCCUAGUAGUCACUCAUCUUCUACACUCCUCUAAAAUGUGACAGCCCUGCUCUUUUUGCCUGCUGUCAUCCACAUAAGAUGUAACUUUCUCCUCUUUGCCAUCUGCCAUGAUUGUGAGACCUCCCCAGCCAGAUGGAACCGAAGUGGAGUCUCUGGAGCUGCCCAGCAGCAGCCUCAUUACUCAGAAGAUGCUGACGAAAACCUAGACAGGAAGAAGGGAAGAAAAAACAUCCUGUAUGUUUAUAAAGUGAGCAUGUUGGUCCCAUUUAUAAAUAUAUGUGUGAUUUAUAAGCUUUUUUAAAACAGAGCUCAAAUUGUUGGUAUUUUUCUAAAAUGUGCACAGCUGUAUUUUACAUGAAGGCUCUUUCUAAUGGGUUGUUAUACUGUACUCAACAUUUUGGACAGCACAUGAAGUCUGCCAAUGUACUUCAUAAAACAUGACUUUGUUUAUUUAAAGUUUCUUGCUGUGAAAAAGAACUCCCUACCUGUGAGUUCCUUUAUUUAUAAUUCUUGAAACUGAAAUGUAUAAUGUACAGUUUUCACAACUGUAUCUGCUCUAAUAAAAAAAAGUUGGUUAU